rfam:Cajanus cajan Scaffold126258_1, whole genome shotgun sequence.
GGGAUGUGAUGAGUGGUCAAAACUCGCAAGUGUAUGCGAGAGGGGUGUCCGCUCCCGCCUGGUUACGACAAUGGGGCACUCUCCCUUUAACCAAUCUGAUCCC